rnacentral:rRNA from 1 species
UACGGGGGGGCAAGCGUUGUUCGGAAUUACUGGGCGUAAAGAGCGCGCAGGCGGCCGAGUAAGUCGAAUGUGAAAGCCCCCGGCUCAACUGGGGAAGGUCAUUCGAUACUGUUCGGCUUGAAGAUAGGAGAGGGAAGCGGAAUUUCAGGUGUAGUGGUGAAAUGCGUAGAUAUCUGAAGGAACACCAGUGGCGAAGGCGGCUUUCUGGCCUAUUCUUGACGCUGAGGCGCGAAAGCUAGGGGAGCGAACGGG